UGUCACUCUUCUUCUCUCUUUCUCUCCAUCCUCAUAGGCCAUCCUCACUAGUUGCCAUCAUCGCUGGAAUAUAGAAAACUCAAAGAUCAAGACGAAGAUGAAAAUGGUGGUGGAGACGACAUAGAAAGCCAGAAACCUCUUUCAGUGACUAAUGUGCCCACCUUGGGAGGUGCCACUGUUGACUGGUCCAAAUGGAAGCUCAAGUUUCGGCCUCGUAUUCUUGUUGAUGCAAGCAAGAUAGACAUGGCCACACCUGUUCUGGGCUUCAAAAUCUCAAUGCCCAUCAUGAUUGCUCCCAUAGCCAUGCAGAAGAUGGCUCACCCUGAAGGAAUGUACCUUUGGUGUUAGUUAUAUUCAUACAUUUGUACAUAUAUACAUAUAUGGCAUUGUUAAAAAUAAAAUAGGCAUGUAUAUAAUAUAUGUCCAAAAUAUGUGCAUAAUAUGUUCAUUAUACCUACGUUAUUCAUACCUUAAAGAUGAUGUUGGGGUGCGUAUGAGACAAUUUGGAGAUAAAUUUCUUAUUGGCUACAAUAUGUAACUUGCUCACUUGUUCUACUUUCAUUUCGGAACCAAGAGUAUGCUUCUUCUUCUUGAUUCGAACAAAAGUAUGUGUAUGUAACACUUGCUUUUCCAAGAAGCUUUAAGCAAAAGGUUCAUUUAAGAGGUUUUAAAAGAAUUAUACCUUGUAAUUUUCAUUUCCAAAAUUUCAUAUGCAACUUCACCUCUUUAGAAGAGGAUCUUGAUACAAUAGCUUCUACACUCUACUGUCAUCUUUUCUUUUCCUUUUCCUUUUAAUUUUUUAUUGGUCUUUGUUUCAAGUACUAAGCACAACAGUGUCAGGCUGUACUGUACCAUUCCUUUUAGACACUUUUAAGAGUUCCAAAGUUAUAUAGUAUGCAUUAAUUUAUUUUGAUGGAGGUAUAGAGGAAAAAAAAUCAAACUAUUUUUUCCCUAAAUGGAGGUAAAGGUACUUCUAAAUGCAGUUGAAAGUUAUUUCACAAAAAAUAGAUCCUGAUAUCUUAUUUAAAUUAGAAGGUGAAUAUAUUGGUAACUUUGAAUAAGCAUUCUUCUUUAUAGGCCAACUACAUGGCUCCUUUUAACAUCAUCCAUGGGAAUGGUGUAGCUGCACUUUCUAAGAAAUACUUUUUAUUAUGAAAUGCAUGCUUAAAAGUUCAUAAAGAGUUUUUGCAGUGGAGGGGGGGGGGGGGGGUUUUAAAAUUUAAAUUGAAUUAAAAAUUUUCUUGUAUUUCCUUGAUAGUGUUGAUUUCAAUGUGUAAACCAAUUGGGCCUGCGACACUUUGUGGAUUUCCAAAAUAAUUGUAAUCAAUGUUAACAUGUUGUUUAUGCAUGAUUGGGGGUUUCAGACACUUUCCUCAUGGGCUUGGAAUUGUUAGUAUUAUUUUUAAUUUAUUUUUUGCUGAAUAAUUUUAAUGUGAACAUAUGCUUAAAUUUGUGACAUGAGUAUGGUAAUUAGUGUGUUUAAAAUUGAUUUCUUUCAAUUCGGUCACAAAGAAAGUCAGAAUUUAAUAAGUUGUAUCUUGUGAAGGUAUUCCUUAAAAUAGGUGGGUGCUUUGGGUUUGGGUCUUGAAAUAUGAAUAAAGAAAUAAAUAAUAUGUAAAAUGAAAUAGAGUCUGGUAUGAAUGUUCAACAAUGCCAAAUGGGUACAAAAGCUAAUACAAAACUUUAUUCAUAUUUAAAUUCAUUCCGUAUGAUAAUGGUUAUUCUUGAUGGUUUUGAGGCUUCAGGCUGGACAUAAGUAUUGUUUGUUGGGCAAGCUUUCAUCUGAGGUUGGAUGGAACCACUAUGACACUAUUAAGGAGAAACUAUCAUCUUUUGAAGAAAUGAAGGAAAGACUUAGCCAAUUUGAAGAGAUGCAGCAAAGAAUGGCUCGCAUGCUUCAACAAAUGCAACAAAUAACUUCACAAUGCAGUCAGGACGUUCCUCCGAUCCUACAAUCCCCAGCUCCCCAAAAAUCAUCAGCUGCAUCCCAUCAACCAAGUAGCUUAUAAGUUUUAUGUUGGUGUUUAAGGACAUUUUGUGUACAAAGAACCAUAUUUGAACAACCACAUUUUUUGCAAGUAUGGAAAAAUAUUUUGAAACACUUUGAAACUUUGAUUAUGGUAUUAGUUUAAUUUAAGUGUUGAAGGACUUUUUGUAUGCAAA